GCGGAUGUAGCUCAGUGACAGAGUGCAUGCUUAACAUGCAGGAGGUCCUGGGUUCAAUCUGCAGUAUCCUCA
rnacentral:tRNA from 1 species